rnacentral:rRNA from 1 species
CCUACGGGAGGCAGCAGUGAGGAAUAUUGGUCAAUGGGCGCGAGCCUGAACCAGCCAAGUCGCGUGAGGGAAGACGGUCCUAUGGAUUGUAAACCUCUUUUGUCGGGGAGCAAAAGACGCCACGCGUGGCGUUCCGAGAGUACCCGAAGAACAAGCAUCGGCUAACUCCGUGCCAGCAGCCGCGGUAAUACGGAGGAUGCGAGCGUUAUCCGGAUGUAUUGGGUUUAAAGGGUGCGCAGGCGGAAGAUCAAGUCAGCGGUAAAAUUGAGAGGCUCAACCUCUUCGAGCCGUUGAAACUGGUUUUCUUGAGUGAGCGAGAGGUAGGCGGAAUGCGUGGUGUAGCGGUGAAAUGCAUAGAUAUCACGCAGAACUCCGAUUGCGAAGGCAGCAUACCGGCGCUCAACUGACGCUCAUGCUCGAAAGUGUGGGUAUCGAACAGGAUUAGAUACCCCUGUAGUC